GCCACUUCGUCGCGGCGCCCGGCGAUGACGUCAGGCCGGGAGCAACGAGAGCGCCGGCUCCGUGCGCGGCUAGAGCGGCUUGUGGGCGCAGGGGCGGGUCCGGUGGCGGAUGGGAGCUUCCCUGGUGACGGAGGUCGGACGGGGGUUGGGAGCCAGGGUGAGCCACUCAGCGCCCGACCCGGGUUCGUGGGUAACAACCCAUGGGGUGACUGCAGACGCGCGGCCUCGCCCUGUACAGGCUGCGGGUUACAAGCCGGGACGCGCGGGCCCUUGGCGGCUGGUUACGGCUCGAUGGGCCGCGAGGGAAAGUAGUCGCCGUCUGAGAACCCAAGUCAGGCGGCUUCUCCGGGAGCUCCGGGCUGGGGAGGUGACGGCAGUGGCCGUCGGAUCAAAGUCCUUCUUCCCGAAGGAGUGGUCCCAGCUCCGGAUUCGCGCAUCUGCCUUGCAGGUCACGGGCCCUGUAGCUCAGAGGGCUCUACUGAAUGAGGAAGAUCGUGGAGGAACGCAGUACUCGGCGCUGAUUGGAUAUCCGGUGGCGCCAAAUUCGGGGUUAAGGCACCUGUUGUAAGACCUAGUCUUCUGUCCGGUUUCCUCCCUCGUCUCCGCUCCCUUGGCCAAUGAGAAGCCAAGGGGCAGUCGUCUUUCCGUUGGAAUUAUGCGGUGGGGAAAGAAGCACUGACCUAAACACUUCCUACCAGCUCUUACCACCUGCACGUGUUCCUAAAUGAAAGCCUGGCGCGCAGUACCUGGCUCCCUUCGUGGAUAUCCAGCUAGAGUAAGGACGCUAACAAAAAUAUAGCUUUGCGUAAUCUUGUCCCUAAGUGGGAAUUGUGAACAGUGAUGGUUACCUGGAACGUUGCAGGUUUUUUUUUAGAAUCAAUAGAAUCGUUUAGGUUUGAUUGUACAAUGUACGUUGCCAAAUUGCCCAAAUCAACUGGUAUUAACUGAUUUAAUAGGUAGCUGAUGUAAUCGGAUUGUUAUCAUACUAUGGAUGAUUAUUAACUAUGUGGAGCACAGCUAAAGUAAAUAAAAUUUACACAAGAGAAAUA
rnacentral:lncRNA from 1 species